rnacentral:rRNA from 1 species
CCUACGGGUGGCAGCAGUGAGGAAUUUUGGUCAAUGGUCGGGAGCCUGAACCAGCCAAGUCGCGUGAGGGAAGACGGUCCUAUGGAUUGUAAACCUCUUUAGGCGGGGAGCAAUGCCGGGCACGUGUGCCCGGAGGGAGAGUACCCGCAGAAUUAGCAUCGGCUAACUCCGUCCCAGCAGCCGCGGUAAUACGGAGGAUGCGAGCGUUCUCCGGAGUUAUUGGGUUUAAAGAGUGCGUAGGCGGCCUUUUAAGUCAGCGGUGAAAGUCUGUGGCUCAACCAUAGAAUUGCCGUUGAAACUUGGGGGCUUGAGUAUGUUUGAGGCAGGCAGAAUGCGUGGUGUAGCGGUGAAAUGCUUAGAUAUCACGCAGAACCCCGUUUGCGAAGGCAGCCUGCCAAGCCAUGACUGACGCUGAUGCACGAAAGCGUGGGGAUCAAACAGGAUUAGAUACCCUUGUAGUC